UGUACAAAACAAACAAACAAACAAAAAAGCGGUACGGAACAGAGCAAGGCAAGGCGGGUGUCACAGAAGCAAUAGCAACAAGCCGCAGUUUACAACAUGGCUGCAACGAGUGAGGUGCGAGGGGAAGCCUGAGAAAGGCAAGAGGUCAUCACACAGCACAGAGAACAACCUUCCCCCCCUCCUUCCAGGAAAAAAGAAAAAAAAAGGCAUGCGGAGUAACUUGUGAGAACAAGCACAAAGCGUGUACCGUUGAAUAGCAAACCACCGUUUGUGGGAGCAAAUCAGGGUAUUGGCACAGAUAUUGGCUCAGCACCUCCCUGGUGAGGCACAGUCUACCUUGGACCUCUCCAACCCACCACCCACAUGCUACUUAUGGAAGUUGGAGGCUUGCAUCCCCAUUGAGACUCUCUUAAGAACAUUUAAGAACGGCCCUUGCUGGGUCAGGCUGCUGGCUCUUCCAAAUCCAGCAUCCCACCCUCACCGCGGCCAAGCAGACACCCCAUGAGCAGGACCUAAGUGCAACAUCACUCUCUCCUCCAGCGAUCCAAAGCAACUGGUUUUCAGAAGCAGCCUACCACCCACAGCGACAGCAUUGCCUCGAACACAGCACAGGGAAGAGCAGAGAAGCGCACCUCCUGGGAGGUUGUAAGUAAGUGCAGAAAUGUUCAGGCCAACCUAGGAGAAGAAAGCAGCAAAUCCAUCGGUGUCCUUUGCUUUUGGAGGAGGGUGGAGAAACCGAUGACCCUCCAGCUGUCGUUGUUGGGACUCCAGCUCCCAUCAGCCCCAGGCAACAUGGCCAACGGUCAGGGAAUGAUGGGAGCUGGAGCCCAGCAAUGGCUUGUGCACAGCCACAGGUUUCACCAUCCCCAAGUUGCAGUGCUCAAAAACUGGAGCGGGAGGACAGAGGAAAGCACGGUGGGCCUUAAUUAAACCCACAAGCCCCGCUGCUGAUAUCCUCUAAUUUUAGCCGUACUCCAACAGCUUUCUAAUAAAAAUAAAAAAUAGGAAGGUGGCGCAAGGCCAACACAAAAGAUAAGAUGACUGGUCCCCAGCUGCCUGCCUCCUGUACUACAAGCAUUGGUUUGUAACAGGCCAAACCAUGUGUUGCAGUUAGGGAUGGAAUGAUUUGUCCAUUUGAGUUCUCUCCGUUUCCCAUUUUUCCAAACUUAAACUCAAUUCUCCACAUCUCCGCAGCAAUUUUAGCUUUAAAGAAAUCCUCAUGAAAGUUCUUCAGCAUCUCAAUGUGACUUCCCCCCCCCCCCAAUAAGCAUCUCUGCGUGUGGAGUUUUGACACAUUUUUGCAAAGCCGUUUCUCUUGAUAUGUGAAUGCUAUUCCCAAUAAAAUAUUCAUUUUUAUGUGCUUUCGUAAAUGUUGUUUGGUUGGAGACCUGAGCCAUAAAACUCGGGUAACUCUGAAUUUCGAAGGAUUCUGUGCUUUGCUUCUCAGAGUGUUUGAGAAACAGCAAAUUUGAUGAAUUUGGCGUUAAAUGAGUACAGAAUUGAAAUUCUCCUCCAUCCCUAAUUGCAGCCCAUCGGAAUUCGUGCAGAUGCACCACGGGCCAUGGACCUUUCCCAUAGACAGCUAGAGAAUGGCCAAAUGGACUCUACUCUGUUGCAGCUGUGCGUAUUAGGGUGUAAGGCAGCUGUCCUUAAGGCAGUGUUUCUCAAACCUAUUUAAAACUCAUUCAUUAAAGGCAGACCAAACCAUCUAUGUUCCAUUUGCCAAUGAGCACACAGACUCACACUGAACCUCCUGUUAUGAGCUAGAACAAAGAGCCCCUCCCAUUUAGAGGCGGGGCCUUAAUUUCCAUCCAAUUAUAUUUCGCUUCAGCCCAUUCAACAAUAUUUCAAAGCCCUUGGAAUGUUUCCAAAAGCACAGGAAGAAGGAAACAUCAGAAGAAGAGCUUCACCUUUCAUUGAGUCUCAGGAUUGUAUCCAAGGUACCUGUGGCUCUCCAAGCUGUUGUUGGACUACAACUCCCAUCAACCCUGGUCAUUUACCAUGCUGGGUGGGUCUGAUGGGAGCUGGAGUCUAGCAACAUCUGGAGGGCCACCAGUUCCCCAAUCCUGCCAUAGCAUCUCAUACCUUCUCGAAAGAAGCAGUGGUGGCAACACCAGGAAGUCUCCAACUGCCCCAGGAUAUUCCCCCUCCUUUGAAUUUCCAAUGAGCUUCUGUCCCUCAGCUGGAGAACAUUAGCUUUUAAGCUUCUGUCUUUAAGGAAAGCCAUAGGGCAUGGCUGGGGAGGCUGUACCCAUCCAUACGUUACUGGACUCCAACUCCCAUCAGCCCCGGCCAGCAUGGCCAAUGGCCAGGAUGGAGAGAAGCUGUAGUCCAGUAGCAUCUGCAGGACCACAGAGGCCCCUCACCACUCCUGCAAGAGAGCAUUUCAGCCUAACAGUCGGCCAUAUAAAACCCAGUGGGACACUGCUGAAUUUCAAUUUGUCGGACAAAUAGCUGGAGCUGAGAUUACUCUGCAUGUAUUAAAGAGCUUGCCAACGUAUUUGCAUUAUCACCAACAUUGCUUUGUCCAUUGUUCAUGGUGUCCUGCCUUGUUCAUUGGUUACUGUAACUAUGUUGCUUUCAGCUAAUCAUCACUGCCUGUUCUUUUGACAUUCCAUUCCCUGCUGACCUCAUUCAUUCCCGCAACGCUGUGUGUCAUAGGCACGCUUGCCAAUUUAGGAUACACUCUAUGCAUCUGAUGGAGCGGUCCAUGUGGCCCGCAGAAACGUAUGGCAUAACAGAUUUAUUAGUCUUUCAAGACUCUCUGCUGGUUUUGCUCCAGCAGGCUAGCUCAGAGAGUUCCCACAGUAAUGUAGCAGAAACAAUGAGCUUUAGAUGGCAUGUACACAGCCUAAGCAAGGCUGUGGCCUGGUCAUGUGGGUUGCUUGCUCUCCUUUGAAGUACCGCCUUAUCAGGGAAAGCCACACAGCCUGCAGCUUUUCUCACUGGACGUGAGGCUAGCAUGAAAGACACGCAGAAUGAGAACAGAGCCGUGGCUGCAGGAGAAGGCAAUCCUUAUCUCUCGCCAACACUUCCCUGUGCCUUCCAGGAUAAAGGGGGUAUCAUGGAACUUGUCGCCCUGACUGGGGCCCCAAAGAAACAAGAGACAAGGGCUGUAUUUAUACCAUCGUUUUAAAGCCCUAUGAUGCCACCUUAACAUGGUUUCCUGCAAAGCAUUCUGGGAGCUGCAGUUGGUUAAGGGUGCCAAGAGUUGUUAGAAGAGACCCUAUUCCACACACAGAGCUAUAAUUUCCACAGCCUGGGAAGGUAGGCCACCUAGGAGAAGGAAAACUCUGGUCCUAAAACUUUGCUGCCUUGUGGGAUAUCGUCAGGAUAAGAAAAGGCUAAGGAGUAAGGUAAAAGGUAAGAUAAAGGACCCCUGAACGGUUAAGUCCAGUCAAAGGUGACUAUGGGGUUGUGGUGUUUAUCUCGCUUUCAGGCUAAGGGAGCCAGCAUUUGUCCACAGACAGCUUUCCGGAUCGGCCAGCAGGACCGAUCCAGCCAGCAGGACUAAACCGCUUCUGGCACAACGAGACACCGUGACAAGUGCUAGAGUGCACGGAAACGCUGUUUACCUUCCCGUCGCAGUGGUACCUAUUUAUCUACUUGCACUGUUGUGCUUUCCAAGUGCUAGGUUGGCAGGAGCUGGGACAGAGCAAUGGGAGCUCACCCCGUCAUGGGGAUUCGAACUGCCGACCUUCCAAGUGGCAAGCCCAAGAUGCUCAGUGGUUUAGACCACAGUGCCACCCGUGUCCCUGUGAAGAGGGACUGGCUGUUAAACUGCUCUGAGAAUUGUAGAAUUGUAGCUCUGUGGGAGGAACAGGGGUCUCUUAACAACUCCAAACAUUUACACUUCCCAGGAUUUGGGAUGGGGGUGAUAUGUAGCCUGUUAAAAGUUAGAGCUUUUACUGUAGAUUUAGAGGCAGCUUUAAGUAGAAUCUGCCUGCCAUUUGCUCCAGCUCCUUCUGCAAAUGGCCACUCUGCUUUCCACCCAGGGCAGGCUUGCCCAUGAGCUGAACUGAAGCCUUGGGUGGCAGAAUGCGGAGGAGCGUCUUCCAGUGAGAUCUCAUGAGAGUUCCACGAGAUUUCACUGGAAGCCACCACAGCUACGCAAAAACAAGGCCGCAGUGGGAGGGGGUGGCAGGGAAGCUUUGCCUCAGGUGGCAAAACAGGAUGAACCGCCCCUGCUUUCACCCCUGCCAGUCCCAAUGGGCACCAGCAACUGCUGUCCCCUCCACCAUUGCCCCGUACGGGAGCUGAUGGGUUGAUUCUUGGGAAUGGGACACGGCCGUACAUUGCAGCUAAGAGCAGUAAGCUAACUUAAGGGGUUCAGGGUAGGCCUCAUGCCACACACAGCUCUGUCCUCCAACACCUCAGCACCAUUUGCAACACACUCACAGAAUCCACCUGAAGCAGUAGCGGUCAUUACGGCCAAUGUCAGGGCCGGCCUUUCCUGAGCACAACCAUGAGACUCCCCAAGACGCUCUGUGGCUCAUCUCGAUUUCCUCCAGGCUUUAGCCAGGUGGAACUGAGGUAUAAACUAGGGCUGCAACUUGGGACCCUGAGAAGUUUCACUUUCUAUAAGGAAAGAAGGAAGUCUGCAGUUUGGUAGACCUGUCAGAGAUGUGGUUGAAGACACGCUAGGAGUAUUUGUAAAGAAGAAGCAAACAGCUAGGAAAUGAUUCUGCCACACCCCAUGUUCUUGCUGGGGCCGAUGUGAGUUGUAGCAGAAACAUCUGGAAGGCAGCAGGUCGGCAAAGGCUGUACCAAACUUGGGUCUCCAGCUGUUAGGUAAAGGUAAAGGGGCCCCUGACCAUUAGGUCCACUCGUGACCGACUCUGGGGUUGCAGCGCUCAUCUUGCUUUAUUGGCCGAAGGAGCCGGCAUACAGCUUCCGGGUCAUGUGGCCAGCAUGACUAAGCCACUUCUGGUGAACCAGAGCAGUGCACGGAAAUGCCGUUUACCUUCCCGCCGGAGUGGUACCUAGUUAUCUACUUGCACUUUAAUGUGCUUUCGAACUGCUAGGUUGGCAGGAGCAGGGACCGAGCAACGGGAGCUCACCCCGGCGCGGAGAUUCAAAAAGCUGACCUUCUGAUUGGCAAGUCCUAGGCUCUGUGGUUUAACCCACAGCGCCACCUGCGUCCCUCUCCAGCUGUUACUGGACUACAACUCCCAUCAUCCCCAGCUAGCAAGACUGGUGGUCUGGGAUGAUGGGAAUUGUAGUCCAAAAGCAGUUUGGAAAACAGUCCUAAACGAAAGUGUGACACAUCUAAUGGCAACACGCUAUAUUCUGCUUGUUUUUCUGUUUAAGAUGGGAGGCGAAAGAUAGAAACAGAAAGAAAGAGAUUUCACCCCACUCCCUGCAAAGGAGGACGAUGCUCCCUCCUCUUUAGCAGUGCCGCAAAAGGGUAUUUUGAUAGGGAUAUAUUCACAUUUCUGUUGUGACAGGUUGCUCCUGUAAAAAAAUAUCCAUUUCUAGUCAACAGUUAGAAAAGAAGGAGCCCCAUCUCUCUUUUGCAUUCGAAAGCAGGUGAGGGUGAAACUUGUGGCCCUCCAGAGAUAAACUACAACUCCCAUCAUCCCUAAACAUUGGCCGUGCUGGUUGGGGCAAGUGGGAGUUGAAGUCCAACAUUUGGAGGAGCAGGAGGUUUCCCAGCCUGUCCUAAAGGGAGAAGAAGGGUCAAAAGAGCAAAGAAAGCAGAAGGAGCCCUGCAAUUUCAAAUUAAAAGGUGGGCCCUGGCUACAAGAAAGCUGCAAAAGCUGCACAACACAUUCCCCUCUCCCUGGGAGCCUCUGGACACUUUCCGGAGUGUUACACACUUUGCACAGAAUUUAAGUUUCCUUGUUGCAGAAUGUGGACUUCUGGGUGCGAGGUGUAUAAAUAAUCUCUGGCCGUAAGACUGCCAACUGCUAGCGACAGUAGAAAAAAAUCUGCCUCCCCUAUUCAGAUCUCAGCUGGUUCCAUCUGUGAUGCCAUACAUCCUAUAGCCACAUCUCCUCAGUUCAUGCAUGUGUAGCUUGCUCUCAGUCUCACUGCAUCAUGGACUUCGUAGCUGUAACCUUGUGAGCGUCGGGUGCUGGCCUCCAGACUACAAAAUCCAUGAUGCAGCGCAACUGAGCAACUGAGAAAGACUCACGCUAACUCUUUAUGCAGCAGACAUUUGCACAGUGGCCCAGACUGAAGCAAUGCAUAUUUCUAGAAGCCCACAACCACACGACACAGUCCCAGGUUAGCAAAAUACCAUGGUUUGCUCCCAUCCCAAGUCCAUUUUCGGGUAGAAUUUUUUAGAUCCCUAAAAAUGACUUGAGACAUUCACUAGAGGAAUCCACUGGACAGCGUACAAACCAAUUAACACAUUUCUCUAGGAAUCCAAAUUUGCUCCAUGGAUGGUGAGAGGCGAAGCAUGGGCUGAGCGUGCCAAGAUGAUGCUAAACCUCAAAGUAACUCCCGCCUUGCAGAUCCUUACCUCUGCAAGAAGUCCAACAGUUGUACAUCACUCAAUACAACGCACCUAAAACAAGGGCAGUGGGAGCUGUUUUUUUACUAGGAUCCCUCGCCAGCAGGUCUUUUAAGUCCUUCCCCCCCGUAGUGCAAAAAAGAGCCAUGAGAUUCUUAGUAAAAACAUCAUCAUCAUGUCAGGAAUGUUUUGAGAAACCAUCAAAGAACGCCACACACCCAACCAACUUUUUGCUCAUCCUCUCAAAGCGGCUGGUGGGGAGAAGACCAAGGGAUGUCCUAGGCAAGAGGUCAGGCUGGUUGGUGCUCUUGUCAGCAGCACUUGGUUCAGAGGUAUCGCCGGCCUUCUUGCAAAAGCUUGCCGUGACCUCAGAAAGUUUGAGGACAAAAUGGGGGGGGGAGAGCUGGAAAGAGGAGGAGGAGAAGGGUCCCAGCACCUUGGUUAGAAGUAAACAGUUAACGUGCAUUUUACACAAGAGUCCUCAAAAUCCAUGUGCCAUAGAAAAGGUGGUUGGUUGGUUUUAAACACCAGAAUGCUCCUUAACAACAGUUUAGUACAUCUAGGAAAGAGUGGGGACAGCAGGGAACAUCCCGAUCGUGGAAGAGGUCCACAGCAAGCGACCUCUCUCCCCUCUCGUCUUCCCGCCUUCCCACUAACAGACGUUGCUACGAUCGAAAUAGAGCAGGGAGUAGCUGACAUGGUGUCCUACAGCCAUUGCUGGACUGCCAACUUCCUGUGAUGGCGUUGCAGUUCGACAGUGUUUGCAGGGCACCACGUUGGCUACCCCUGAAUUAGAGAGAGGGAGGAAGGGAGGGAACGGGUGCCGCUCUUGCUCACAAGUCUCUUUGUUUUUGUUUUGUUUUGUUUUGCAACAGGAAAGUCCUUCCUAAAGCAUCUGCGAUUCCAGCUGAACUGCAGACAGUGACAAGGAUGAUCC